rnacentral:misc_RNA from 1 species
CAGAGGUUCCGUCUGGUC